rnacentral:rRNA from 1 species
GACAGGGGUGGCAAGCGUUGUUCGGAAUUACUGGGCGUAAAGGGUCUGUAGGUGGUUUUUCAAGUCUUUGGUAAAAAGCUGUGGCUCAACCAUAGUGAGGCCAAGGAGACUGGGAGACUCGAGGCUGGGAGAGGGAAGCGGAAUUUCUGGUGUAGCGGUGAAAUGCGUAGAGAUCAGAAAGAAGGCCGGUGGCGAAGGCGGCUUCCUGGAACAGACCUGACACUGAGAGACGAAAGCGUGGGGAGCAAACAGGAUUAGAUACCCUGGUAGUCCACGCCCUAAACGAUGGGUACUAAGUGUGGGGUAGCAAUCCCUGUGCCGCAGCUAACGCAAUAAGUACCCCGCCUGGGGAGUACGGCCGCAAGGUUGAAACUCAAAACG